GUUUUUCGCUUAGAGUUACAGCAUCCAUCACUUGCGUGUCAAAAAAGGGCCGGUCCACAGGGUGAGAUGGUGACGCCUCGGAGCGAGGCCGUUCACUAAUGAUCCUUCCGCAGGUUCCGGCAACCGCGCCGGCUUUCGCCCGGCGCCCUGACUAUACCUCAGACUCGGGCGAGCCCACUGCCAUCUAGUCGAUGGACUGGUCGGGGACCAGCUGCGGAUUGUCCAAGCCGCGCCCGCGGAGCGCGCCCUCAGGAGUUCCCCGCAGUUUGGCAGUGUUGCGUUUCCACUAGCGUCGCGCGCUGUCGCAGGCAAACGAGCACCUACGGAAA
rnacentral:misc_RNA from 1 species